UACGAAGGUGGCAAGCGUUACUCGGAAUUACUAGGCGUAAAGGGCAGGUAGGCGGUCUGACAAGUCUGUUGUGGAAGCUCCCGGCUUAACUGGGAGAGGUCAACGGAAACUGUCAGGCUUGAGUGCAGGAGAGGGUACUGGAAUUCCCGGUGUAGCGGUGAAAUGCGCAGAGAUCGGGAGGAACACCAACGGCGAAAGCAGGUACCUGGACUGUUACUGACGCUCAGCUGCGAAAGCUAGGGGAGCAAACAGG
rnacentral:rRNA from 1 species